UACGGAGGGAGCUAGCACUAUUCGGAUUUACUGGGCGUAAAGAGCACGUAGGUGGGCUUGUAAGUUGGGUGUGAAAUCCCGGGGCUUAACCUCGGAACUGCAUCCAAAACUGCAAGCCUCGAGUUCGGUAGAGGGAAGUGGAAUUCUAAGUGUAGAGGUGAAAUUCGUAGAUACUUAGAGGAACACCAGUGGCGAAGGCGACUUCCUGGGCCGAUACUGACACUGAGGUGCGAAAGCGUGGGGAGCAAACAGG
rnacentral:rRNA from 1 species